GUCGUAAGGGUGCGUAACACGUAUGCAAUCUGCCCUGUACAGGAGGAUAGCUCCCCGAAAGGGGAAUUAAUACUCCGUAAUAUAAUGGUGUGGCAUCACAUUAUUAUUAAAGCUGAGGCGGUACAGGAUGAGCAUGCGCAUGAUUAGUUAGUUGGCGGGGUAACGGCCCACCAAGACGAUGAUCAUUAGGGGAACUGAGAGGUUGAUCCCCCACACUGGCACUGAGAUACGGGCCAGACUCCUACGGGAGGCAGCAGUAGGGAAUAUUGGACAAUGGGUGCGAGCCUGAUCCAGCCAUGCCGCGUGCAGGAAGACGGCCUUCUGGGUUGUAAACUGCCUUUGCCAGGGGAUAAAACGUUCCUGCGGGGAUAAUUGAAGGUACCUGGUGAAUAAGCCACGGCUAACUACGUGCCAGCAGCCGCGGUAAUACGUAGGUGGCAAGCGUUGUCCGGAUUUAUUGGGUUUAAAGGGUGCGUAGGUGGUCUGAUAAGUCAGUGGUGAAAUACGGCAGCUUAACUGUCGAGGUGCCAUUGAUACUGUUAGACUUGAGUACAGAC
rnacentral:rRNA from 1 species